rnacentral:rRNA from 1 species
ACUAACACCCAUAUUACUCUGCAGCCAAAGAUUGGUCACUCACUGAAGCUAAGCAGGACUGAGUCUGGUCAGUACCUUAAUGGGAGACCACAUGGUAAAAUAAGGUUGCUGUUGGAA